AGCAGCCGCGGUAAUUCCAGCUCCAAUAGCGUAUAUUAAAGUUGUUGCAGUUAAAAAGCUCGUAGUUGAAUUUCGGGAUCAAUAUGUUGGUCGUGCCUCGGUACGUACUAGCAUAUUGGUUUCUCCUUUCUGAAGAACCAUGAUGUCAUUUAUUUGGUGUCGUGGGGAAUCAGGACUGUUACUUUGAAAAAAUUAGAGUGUUUAAAGCAGGCUCACGCUUGAAUACAUUAGCAUGGAAUAAUGAAAUAGGACGUUUGAUUCUAUUUUGUUGGUUUCUAGGAUCGACGUAAUGAUUAAUAGGGAUAGUUGGGGGCAUUAGUAUUCAAUUGUCAGAGGUGAAAUUCUUGGAUUUAUUGAAGACUAACUACUGCGAAAGCAUUUGCCAAGGAUGUUUUCAUUAAUCAAGAACGAAAGUUAGGGGGAUCGAAGACGAUCAGAUACCGUCGUAGUCUUAACCAUAAACUAUGCCGACUAGGGAU
rnacentral:rRNA from 1 species